rnacentral:lncRNA from 1 species
UCUCACAAAUUCAGGAUUCACUUUGUCCUUCAAAUAGUCAACCUUCUGAGAAAAAUACCAUUCUGGGGCCCUAGGCUCAAUAUUGAAUCUCUUACAGAAUGGGACCCACUUCAUUGCAAACUCUGAUGUCUCGGAAAGGGCUUCAAAGGUGAGCAUCGCUGCCCCGUCAUCUGAGACAUAGCAUGCUACUUUGUCCACUGGGUAAUCUACAGCAAGUAUGGACAGAACAGUGUUUGCAGUUAUAAGAGGAGGUUCUUUCAUGGGAUCCGCUGUACUCACAAAUAUGUCUAUGUCAGCUAAUUUGGAGGGCCUUUCUUCUUUUUCAUACCUGAAAGGAAAUUCUAUUUAGUACCUGCCGAGAAAAGAGAAUAAUUACAAUGAAUUAGGAAAGGUGCAAUACCUCAGUGACAAGCGGUUAAGGUAUGUUUCUCGUUUAAUUGGGUACCAUUUUGGAAACUGAUCCAGUAUCCAUGACAUAGCAAACCAGAUUUCGCAUAUCACUGAUGUAAGCCACAAUCUGUAUGCAUCAUUCACGGGGUGAAGAAUUCGAUAGUGAAAGAACAAUCCAAGGAUCACAAGCCGCAGAAUUAUUAUCAAUCUGUAAGGACUGAUCUUGCUGGAAGGAAUUGGUAACUUCCUUGAGAGAGGCUGUCUUCCCUUGUCCAUCCUGCCAAUUAAAUAAAGAGUAUGUCUCGGUUACUGAAAAAAUGGAAAAGGAAUUAUCGAAUUCUUUCUUAGCAUUGAGCUGUUUCACAAAUUUCAUAGAUAGGACGCUUGGAUGGACAUUGGAAAGUUCAUUCAACAAUAGAGAAGUACCAUCGUUUUUAUCAACCUGACCAACAAGUUCAACAUGAUCGAGCAAAUCUCUAAAAUGUAUAAGAUAGAAUCCAUGGGCUUUCUCUGUUGAGGCACUGAUGGUAAGUUUCACACAGAGAUGAAAUAAUGGCCACAGCAGGAUACGGCAUCAACACCUCCCUCUUUGGAUUUGAAACAUAAAAAUAAUGAGCAUCUAUUUGCACAUUAACUUGGUUAUAGAAGUUGACUAAGAUGCUAAAUUCUGUACAACCAGUGUUGCUGUGUCAACGAGAAACGUAAUGAUGGCUUAGCAUUAAUAUGUAGCUUAUUGUAGCCUAGUUUGGGCUUUUGGAACUCAUUCACGUGUUGAAACAUGGAAUAUAGAUCUCGUGUGCACGUCAAACUAAGCAAAAGAUACGAAAAUUUGUACAUGUAGAAACAUGAAUAGGAAAAGCACACAUUGGAAAGGAACGUACGUGGGCAAAUCAGCAUCAUCUGGUUCCUGUCCAUCGCUUCCUCUAUCAUGCUUAAUAACCUGAAGUCUUUCAUUUUGCUUCUUCCACUCUUCCAUCCGUUCCUUCCAUGCCACGGUUCCAUAUCCAUAGACUGCUGAAUCUUUCUUUGGAUCCAAAGUUCUUGGUGGCACUGAAACAAAGCGUCAGCUCUGUGUUAAGCAGGAAGAAACCAGCCUAGAAAACAUCAUAAGCUGCAAAUGAACAAGAAUGUCUGCCAAUAAAUUGGAAAACAAAUUACAUGGCACAGAAGAAUCAGAAUUGGGCAUUGGAUGAAUCCGUCUUCCUUGACCCAUUAAUGGUGGAAUAAUCAAAGCAUGCUUAUUAAAGGAAAUCUCAACAUUCUGUGGAAACACACAGCAACUCUUUAGAUCAAAAGACACACAUAAUAAAGAAGAAAACCAAGUUUGUCACUGUCAUUCACCUCUUGACCAUAGUUUAAUAACGGAAUUUCAGGAACAACAGAAGAUGCGUCCAGCUCUGAUGGCGUAGUGACGCCAGGAGCAUGCGUUUGCAAGUUGGGCCCAAAGUUAAGGUGAGUGGACGGCAUGCCCUCAGCCAUGCAGUGCAGGUUCCCUCUUCCACUCUCUCCAAUAUCGAACUCACGCUCCAAAUCAUCUGUAUUUUCUUCUUCUUCAUCGCCCUCAACUCUCGGACUCCCUAAAUUUGGCAAUUACUACAAAUAUGUUCAUUGAAAUAGCUAUACGAAAAAUAAGGAACAUCAAGCGAAAACAUGAUGUAGAGCUUGUUAAGCAGAUAAUUUUUUUUUUCCAUGGCGGUGGUAGAACAGGGAUUGAAUUAGUGUAGACUAGGUAUAGAAAUGAUAGGGAGAGAUGGCAACCUUUAAUACGCUUAUAUCGAGUUUUGCAAUGAGGGCAUGCUUGAGUUCCCUCACUCCUUUCGUACUCAUAGCAAUGUCUACAAACAGGGAAUGCACACUCAUUGCAAGCAACAAAUGGCUCUCCAUCCCCUGUUAUCUCUAUCUCAUCCGCACAGAUCUGGCAAAUUUUCCCACUUAGAUGUUUAACGCAAGUCACCUGCAAAUGGAAUGAUAAGAAAGGUUGAGAAUUCGAGAUAAAGAGGAAGCGUCCCAAGUCGCCUCAGCAAAUCAAUUCAAUGGAUUGGUGGAUAUAAGCUCCACAUAUAUGUGACCAUGCAGAAAUUUUCCGAAGCUGUAGUGAGAAAUAGGCCAUGGGUCUACAUUCACACAAUAACCAGACGGGAAUUCAAGAAAAAUGCAGGGUAUGUCUCAGCAACUCUUACUGAACCCAAACUUGUAGAAGGCAGCAAUACAGGAACAAAUGAAGAAGAUAAAAGGAAAGGAAAUACAUAUGCUGGUAUGGGAAAAAAGAAAUUGUAGUAAAUGGGUAGUGUAUGAAACUCCAACAGAGCGAAUGAGUUUCAGAAGAAGCACCAGAAAGGAGGGGAGGAACAAUUAGUGGACCAGAAAAACUCCCACCAUAAGAGAGAGAGAGAGAGAGAGAGAGAAGUCACUUCCGAGGUGUCUAGUCCAGCGGCAAGGCAAAAAGAAGAAAUCUUUAAGGGACUUACACGUCCAACUUCAUCUGCAUUGAUGAGAAUAAUCUCAUUCCUGUUGUGAGAACCAGUCACAAGCCUUCCUGUAUCCAUAAGCGCAACACGCUCCAACUCACAAAAAGCCCGCAGCUUUGGAAACCCAAGAGCUUUACUUCUGCUUAGGCAUUAUCAAAACCUAUUGCCCUCUUCCCUUUAUCACUCGGAACACCUUAAAAUCACAGCUUUGAGUUCUCUCUCUCUCUCUCUCACCGAGGCACCCGUUACAAGAAGCAACAAUCCCAUUUUAUAGAAAUGGCCGAGAAACCAGAGGUUCCGUACACACCAAGAGAGAGAGAGAAAGCAACCGAAUGUAACCGCAAAUUAAAAAAAAGGCGGGGGGAGGAAAUUGAAAAUUGAACGCCAUGACAUAAUGAGGACGAGGUAAGGACAGAGACAAACCAGAAGAGAGAGAGAGAGAGAGAGAGAGAGAGCUCUGCGACUGUAGUGUAGUGUAGACAUGUACAGUUGUUCGUUCUUACAGUAUCAACGACCGUAUCGCUUUGUCUGAAUGUUACAUCCACGUGCGCUUGUGCCUUUUGUCUGUGCUUCGAGGUUCGGAAUGUCUGUUGUACUUCCGGUGAGGCCCGGAAGAGUUUUACCGUAGCGCACGGCGGGCGGUGGCGGUGCAUCCGCAUUCGCAUCCACCGUCAUGCCUGAGCGGCAGCACCUCAUGGUGCAGCGGCGGUCCGAAAGUAGGUGAUGUCUAGAGCUUUCUUUAUUAUAUAAUACCUCUCUAGGCAUUGUUAAUUGAGGAUGGCAGACAAAAUGAAAUAAAAGUUCUCUAAGAAGAAGUAAGCAUCACAUGAUUUGUUCGGAAAUGUCAGUGAGUUGAAAACUACGAGCAACUCCGAUUUUAAGGAAGUAUAUAUUGCUAAAUAUAAUUAGAGGAAAAAAUUAGAAAUCAAUAAUCUUUCUGAACAUGAGAUGUUACUUGUACAAUGGUUAAUCAAAUUGGGGAACCCAAUAUGAGGUGUCACUUCUUGUUGGAAAACAAAAAGUGGAUGCCAUAGAAGUGUGAAAAAGAGGAAUGAGAAACAUAGCAAAUGGGAUCUAGAAUGCUGGCAAAAUCGUAUCAAAUUGAAUACAAGACAAUCACAGUUUCCAAACAAAUGCUGAUUGGUGGUUUACAUAUUAUGAAUAUUGACCACAUUUAAAUAAAUUGUAACAUGAGUGAUAUUCAUUCUUAUAACUCACCAAUCAAAUGUAUGAAUGGAAGAAAAUAUAGUGUAAAAUACAUAAAAGGGAAGUUUUGUUUUCUGCACAGUUAGCCAAUCAGAGUUCCUAAUUUUCUUUUAUGAGUGAUGAUUUCCUAUUUUCAGUCUACUUUCCAUUAGGAGGCCUAUGCUUGUAUAGAAGUAAAGCUUAGCUCAUUAGUUGGACCUGAUGGAGAAAAUCUAUGAUUAAAUUAAUACUUACCAAAAAGAUCAUUAAAGUCACAAUACAUUUCAACACACAUUUUCUUUAGCAUAUAAAUUGCAUUCACAGGCAACCUUUCAUUUUUUUUUCUUAAGGCGGCUGCUUGUGUUCCUUGAGUUAUGUUUAGGGUCGCUUUCACUUCUUAAUUUUUGAGUUAAACUUCUCAUUUGAGAACCCUAGGCACAGCUUAAAGAUGAAGAAGAAGCGCAAUGAGAACUUCAUAGGCUAGAGAGCAAAGAAAUUAUCCGCCAUCGUUGCAAGGUAGGGCAAGGCAAUCUCCCUGGAUUCUUUCAUAAGGAAAAAUAAUGACCCACGACACGAUCAAAUGUCCUCCACCAUUUGACACGUUUUGAAUUCCCAAUCGCCCCCCCAAAAAGGCAAAAUAUAUAAAAUAAAAAAGAAUGCCAAUUAUGAGAUUGCUCUCGUGAAGCAACUAGGAUUAGCUACUAAUAAAAAGGAAAAAAUAAAGAAAAAACAAGUACAUCGAUUACUGAAAUAUUGAAAUCAAAUCGAACACUCAUUUACACAAGGACCAAAAUGGGCUACGUUGCUUAGCAUCCAAGAGACUAAACAACCACCGUAAACACCAAGAAAGAGCUUGGAUCUUUUUUUUUUUUUUGGGGUGAAAAAAAGAGCUUGGGUCUUUGCGACACGUGGACAUAAAAUUAAGAUUAGGGAUCAAAUCAUGCUUUCUCCCCACUUAAAUAAUCUAAUAAUCAUCUUUUGAUGUUUUACUCGUGAAACCCAAAACCCUAGAUUGACCAACUUAAAGAAACCAGAGUGAAGAGAUGAGGUAUACUCCUUGUCUUGAUUAAUUUAUCUAUGGUCUUGGAUUUGACAAACCCUAGUAAUUCCCUUAGCUCAAUCACGGGGUCACUCAUACAUCCUACCAUCAUAGCACGCUUCGAAAUUAAUGCUAGAACAUAGCCUUUUGUAUAAGACAUGAGAGGGACUAUAUCAUGUCGAUAUUAAUUAUAUUGUCACAAGAGGGGCUUUUGCAAUUAUCUUUUCUAUUUCUUUCGUAAGUAACACUAUGUCAAUUGAUCACUGUUUUGACUUACUCAUUUACAAACCGACUUUAUCAUAAGAUUUCGUUUCGUGUCAUCUUUGAAUUUGUAAGAAUUUUCCGUAAUGAUGGAGAUACUUGAUUGGAUGAGCUCUAAGGUGGCACACAACGAUUAUUUUCUUUUGUAAUGUGAUGCAAGUUUGUCAAAUGAAUAAUUAUUGUCACAAGAAAAACUGCAUUAUGGAAGGGAAUUACAUGGUUUGUUCGAAAUCAACUUUAUUUUCAUUUACAUGCAAGGUCGAGCAUUGUCAUAAGCAUAAAGAGAUUGUACGUCCAUCAACUGGUACAUAGUCAAAUCUCUGUUACAAAGAUUGUUUAUUGCAUUUUGGGCAAAUACCAUAAAAAAAACCCUAAAUUAUAUUAACUCCAACAAAAGCACUUAAAACAUUUUCUUUUUGCCACCAAAAACCUUAAACUUAACCAUUGUGAGAUAGAUGUUGUAAAUUUUUUUUGUAUCACGGAAAAAUCUAAACUUAUACAUGUAUAACAUAUAUAUCAUUUGUUUCAUUUUCAUCUAAGGUAUAAGUUUGGGGUUAUUUAUUUAUUUAUUUAUUUAUUUUGUAUAUGUGUCAAAUUGGCAAGUUUAGGAUUUUUAUGACACAAAAAAAGUUCGGAAUAUUUAUAUCAUAGUAGGCAUAGUUUAGAGUUUUUAUUUUAUUUUAUGGCAUUAUCUCUACGAAAAGCCCUCGGGCGUUUUGGGGUGACCCGAAAUGUCCUCCUUCUUGCGGGGACAGAGGUGGUGAUGUCCUUGGGACAUCGUGGGAGGCUGUCUUUUCUGGGGAGGCUAGACUUCACGAUGGAUCAGGGAAAGGGCUCCUAGUGAUGGGAAGUGUUUUGAGAUUGUUUGGGAGGGAGGGGAUGUUUAAAUAGGUAGGUCAAUUUGGUGGGGCUUCUGUUCAAAAAAAAAUUUGGUGGGGCUCAAUUCUUUACUAUCUUUCUCGGGUCGUUUUCAGACAAUCGCCCGGAAAAAGAAGACAGAGACCCCACCUGAAAGAAAAGGGUAGCCCCGUCACUGUCAUCGCCGAGGUACAGAGCAGUAAAACGUUUGUCAAAAGUGCAACUCCGAUUUUGACAAGUACGGCUGGAAGCUACCAAGAAUCUUGUUUAGCACCCGAGAGUACGGUAUGGUUACUUCUGAUUGAAUAAGGAGCACCAAUCUCUUGCGAGCCCUGCAGAAGGCUUAUUUAUUUAUUUAAAUUAGAUUGUUUCUGUUGGUGAGCUGCAACUCAAGUAUUGGUUGUAUUUGAUCUGAAAAGGGCAUAUAAGUUGUUAGUGAGCUAUGGAGAUGAAAAGCUCUCGGAUGAAAUUUUCACCUGGGUAUUAAAGAAAUGGCCAUGGCAGCAAGAAAUCCUUUUCAUCUGUUUUGAUUAAUUUCUUUUCUUACUCAAUUUUUCACAGCGAGGACUGUUAGGAUUGGCUGGUGUGGUUUAAUUCGAUGGAAAUUUCAUAUGUGCCUUAAUACGGACUGUGGGACAUAUUUUAUCCUCUUUCGAUAAAAUAAUCGAUUAAUUUGACUUUGCUCGUAAGGGCUUGUUAGUCCAGCAUUUCACCUACCCUUUCUCCUUUCCGAAGCAGAAAGUUACUAUACCUGCCUACUCGAUAAUAAUCCUUCCAAAGCAGAAACUGUGUACCUCCACCAUUGAGGGUCCCUCCCUCUCGGAUAAUCUUUUUCGCAUUGCAAGUUCUCCCGCCCUUUUUCCCCCUUAGCCUUUUGAACGAUAUGCUCAGGUUCAGCGAGGCAUAUUUUAUCCUCUUUGGAUAAAGCAGUUGGUUGUGUCAACAACCGCCCAGCAAAUUCAAGCAUCCAAAACGAAAACGCGUAGCCUCGUUUCCACUUUCGCGCCUUGGCCAUUCGACACCCAUAGCUUCGCAUAGUCCGACGACUUGUCCGUCGUCCUCGUCGUCGCUUCUCGAUGAUUUCGCCGACCACUGCCAUGAGAGAGACCUUCCCAGAUCCAUGAAGGCUAUGCACACCAUGCAAAGGCACUGUAUCUAGGCCAACGCCGCCACUGACUCCAGGCUCGUCAAGUGUUGCGUGGCUAGGGGUGCUGUGGAAGGAGAUAAAUCGGUCCACGAGCUCGUUUUCUCUAUUGGGUAUCAGCCCAAGACCUUGUUGCUCAACGUCCUCCUCAACAUGUACGUAAAGUUCAACCUUUAUGACGAUGUGGCAAAAGAACGCUUUAAGUGCCAUAACUUACGAAAGGUACACUCAAGUACUAUAUUCGAAGAAAAACGAAUUACUUGAGUGCCAUUCCGGCCAAAGUCCGGCCAAAAUGCCAAUAUAGCAUUUUUCCGGCGAAGCGCGCCCAAAUGAUGCCCAAACGACGUCAUUUUGCACGCUGACGUGAUCAAAUAAUACAAAAACGGCGUCGUUUUAGGCUCACGUGGUAAAAAAAUAAUAAAAAAUUAAUUAAUUAAAUUUAAAAAUAAAUUUAGUUAAAAUAUUUAAAAAUAGUAAUUUUAAAAAUAAAUUUAGUUAAAAUAUUAAAAAUAAUAAUUUUAAAAUUUAAAAAAAAAGGAAAGGGGGGAGGCAGCUAAGGGAUCAGCCCUCAGCCACCUCCCCCCUUUCCCUUUUUUUAUUUUAAAAUUAUUAUUUUUUAUUUUUUAAAAUUAUUAUUUUUUAAUAUUUUAACUAAAUUUAUUUUUAAAUUAAAUUAAAUUAAUAUUUUUAUUAUUUUUUUAUCACGUCAGCCUAAAACCAUGCCCUUUUUGCAUUAUUUGGCACGUCAGCGUGCAAAACAGCGUCGCUUUGGGCUCGGUUCGCCGGAAAAAUGCCACGUCGGCAUUUUUGGUUGGACUUUGGCCGAAUUGGCAUUCAAGUAAUCCCUUUUACUCCGAUUUUGGCACUUAUACAUUUCGUAAAUUAUGUUAUGGCACUUAAGUAUCCAUUUGUUAUGGCACUUGAGGGGUCCGCACGUCAUGCGGAGGGCCUGUUUGACGAAAUGCGCGACAUAAAUGUCGUUUCUUGGACGACAUUGGUAUCGGCUUACGUGAAUAAGGGCAUGAAUCAUAGGGCUUGUGCGGACUUGGGGAUGCUUAGACAACUUCACAGUGGCAUGAUUAUGGUUGGCAUGGAGUCUCAUGUCUUUGUGCGUAGUGCUUUGAUUGAUGAUUACUUGAAGUAGGGUGAGCUGCAAGAUGCCUUGGACGUGUUCAAUGAAAUGGUGACGAAGGAUUUGGGUGUUUGGAAUUCUGUUAUCGGGGGUUUUGGCAAAAUAGCAGAGAUCCAUACUGUUACUAGUAGGGUUGCCUGUGAAAGUUUCCCACUGGAUGAAUCAAAUGCACUGGGAAGUUGUCAUAUGAAAGUACAUGGUGAAAUUAAAGCUGUUCUCAACAUAGCCUGUAAUACAGAGGCCGUUACCUUUCACAAGUGCUUAAAAGAAACAGUCUUGAACGGUGCGAUCAUAUUGUUGAAGACGGAGAUUCACACUUUAGCCCAGACCAACUAUCUGACAAAGAUGAUCUUGAGGAGGCAGUUGCACAGCUAAAUUGCAUUCCUGAAGGAAUGGUUGCUUUAUGAAACGCUGCGUUGAUAUUACACAAAGUUCUAAUUCUGAAUUCACACAUUUUAAGUCUCUGGAGAAGAAAGAAGCUGCGAAUUCUCUUUCUUUGAGCUCGUAUGGCCAUAAAUUAAGCAGGAGGAAUUGGAUGAUGGUGGUCAGCAGGAGGAGAUGGCGAUUGAAGUGGAAAAAAUGGAGUUGACUGCAUCAUCUAUUCUAAACUUUUCAGACAAUCAAUCUUCAAACCAUUCUGAAAACCUUGAAAUGACAGAAGCACUUGAAGAAGGAAAUUCUGACGUUAUUGAAGUUGGCAAAUGUCAUUUGCCACGUGCUGGUGGAGAGGAUUUGAACGUGCAAAAAGAAGCUGCAAACUUCCACCAACAUAGCCACAGGAGCAUCUGCGAAGUUUAUGAAGUUGGAGAGGAAGCUUAUUUUGCAACUGUGACCAUCAAGGCAGUGGAUAUGCUUAACAAGGAAGAAGAUGGAAAUGCAACAUCAGUUUUUCUCCAAGAUCAUGUUCAAUUUUAUGGAGACGAGUCUACAAAGAUCGAGAUUGACACUCCAUUUAUUCCAGGAGUGGCUGCUGAAGAUCCUACGUGUAAUUUCAAUGAAGUCUUGGGAAGUUGGGAACAAUGCUACACUCCGAUGAACAGAAGAAUGAUCUUUUUGAUGAUGAAAGAGGAAUAAGUUUGCAGCCAGACCAAAAGGUGCCAGCAAUUUUGAAUACCUUAAUCCCUCUCGGCCUAUAUCUCCAGAUGUCAGCAUAUAUGUUGGAACUACAGAAAGUGGACUCAUCCCGAAGAUAAUCAAGAAACAGGAUGUAACAUUGAAUGGAACUUAUUCUAAUCGUGUAGUUUGAUUUCUGAACCUUGUAAUGGCAAUACAGCCAAUUGUUUGUACUAUGCAAAUUUGGGUUCGUGGUACAAAUUGACCGAAUUCUUGUUUUGAUUCUGUAGAGCGAGAAAUGAGAAAUGUGGGUAAGCGGUUGAAGAAAAGCAUGUUACUUGAUCAUAAAAAUAACAGCAUAUGGUAGAUGACGUUACAUGUGCUAUAAUAUUCAUACGGCAUACACUUGAGUCUUGUAAUUUUUGUCAUCUACUUAUAAAUUUUUUUUACCAAGUCAUCUACUUACAAUACCAACCCAAAAAAAAAAAAAAAAAAAUCUACUUAUAAUAAUUAAUUAAAAAUUCAUCAAAAUACUAUAACUUUUAAUUAAUCAUUUAAGUGUCUUUUUUUUUUUAAAUGACACUUAAGUGAUUGAAAAAAAAAAUUACAACUUUCAAGUGAGCAUUUAUACAUAAGAUAUCCAAGUACUUUAAAAGAAGUCAUGACACUCAAACAAGAAAUUUACCAAAGUUUAUAACGCAUUGUUCGUUGUCAGAUGUUUUUCCAAGCACAACAUUGAGAAUCAGACCUAAAGGAGUGGACUUUAACCGGUUUGGCUACUCAAGAAAAUGAGAGUAGCAAACGGUUAUCCCAAAAGUGUCGAUCUUUAAGACAAAUCAUUCUCCCUUUUCAGAGAGAAUCCAUCGUUCCAAGCAUGCGAGCCGUUUCUGCAAGAACGAAAUGCAUAGCCUCGUUUCCACUCUCGCGCCUUGGCCAUUCGACGCCCAUGUCUCCGCACGGCCCGACGACGCGCCCGUCGUCGCCGCCGCCGUCGUCGCUUCUCGACGAUUUCGCUGAGCACUGCCGUCGGAGAGACCUUCCCAGAGCCAUGAAGGCUAUGCACGCCAUGCAGAGGCACGGCAUCUGGGCCGACGCCAUCACCUACUCCGAGCUGGUCAAGUGCUGCGUGGCCAGGGGUGCCGUCGAAGAAGGUAAAUGGGUCCGCAAGCACGUUUUCUCUGGUGGGUAUCAGCCCAAGACCUUCUUGCUCAACGUCCUUCUCCACAUGUACGUCAGGUUCAACCUCUUGGGAGAUGCGGAGGCCCUGUUCGACGAAAUGCCCGACAGAAACGUCGUCUCCUGGACGACGCUGAUAUCGGCUUACGCGAAUAAGGGCAUGAACGAUAGGGCCCUGGAGUUUCUCAUUUUGAUGCUGAGGGAAGGUGUCCGUCCUAAUAUGUACACUUAUUCGUCGGUUUUGAGGGCCUGUGCGGACCUGGGGAUGCUUAGACAACUUCACAGUGGCAUUAUUAAGGUUGGCAUGGAGUGUGAUGACUUUGUGCGUAGUGCUUUGAUCGAUAAUUACUCGAAAUGGGGUGAGCUGCAAGAUGCCUUGGACGUGUUCAACGAAGUGGUGACAAAGGAUUUGGGUGUUUGGAAUUCUAUUAUUGGGGGUUUUGCGCAAAAUAGCAAUGGCGACGAGGCUCUUGAAAUGUAUAAAUGCAUGAAGAGAGCGGGUUUCGCACCUGAUCAGGCGACUUUAACUAGUGUUUUGAGAGCAUCUACUGCCUUAGCAUUGUUAGAAGUGGGAAGACAAGUGCAUGUUCAUGUACUAAAGUUUGAUCGAGAUCUUAUCCUCAAUAAUGCACUUCUUGAUAUGUAUUGCAAAUGUGGCAGUUUGGAGGGUGCAAACUCUGUCUUUAGUAGAAUGGUGGAAAGGGAUGUUAUAUCCUGGAGCACCAUGAUUGCUGGAUUGGCCCAAAAUGGUUGCAGUCUAGAGGCGAUGAGGCUGUUUGAACAAAUGAAACAUUCUGGUAUGGAACCAAACUAUAUUACCAUGGUAGGCGUUCUCUUUGCGUGCAGCCAUGCCGGGCUUGUUGAAGAUGGCUUGCACUAUCUCCAGUCAAUGAAAAGGAGUUUUGGAAUUGAUCCUGGUAGAGAGCACUAUGGUUGCAUGGUUGAUCUUCUGGGAAGGGCAGGGAAGCUGGAUGAAGCUGUUAAGUUGAUUAACGAAAUGGAAUGUGAACCAGAUGCUGUUACUUGGAGAACCUUACUUAGUGCCUGCAGAGUUCAUCGGAAUUCAGAUUUGGCAAUAUAUGCUGCUAAACAGGUAGUAAAACUGGAUCCGGAUGAUGCGGGUACCUACAUACUCUUGUCAAAUAUUUAUGCAAAUAACCAGAGGUGGGAAGAGGUCACAGAGAUUAGAAGGUCCAUGCGAGUAAGAGGAAUCACAAAAGAACCAGGAUGCAGCUGGAUUGAAGUAAAUAAGAAGAUACAUGCUUUCAUCUUAGGGGAUGACUCACAUCCACAAGUAGAUGAGAUCAAAAGAUAUUUAAACCAGAUUGUCCAGAGGUUAAUGUCAAUAGGAUAUGUCCCAGACACAAAUUUCGUUUUGCAGGACCUUGAAGAUGAACAGAGGGAGGCUUCACUUCAAUAUCACAGCGAAAAACUCGCUAUUGCGUAUGGAAUCAUGAGCUUACCGAGAGAGAAGACAAUAAUGAUCAGAAAAAAUCUGAGGAUUUGUGGAGACUGUCAUACUUUCACAAAACUUCUAGCCAAGAUGGAGCAGAGGAUUAUUGUGAUAAGAGAUCCUGUCCGUUAUCAUCAUUUUAGGGAUGGAGCUUGCUCUUGUGGUGAUUUUUGGUGACAAAAGAUGUUGAAAAAGUAUCAAAAGCUUUUGUUUGCUGAACACAAGAGAGGAGGUUCUGCAGGGUGGAUAUCAGUGCUGGUGGUAGCAAUUGGUUUCGUGAUCUAUGUGAGACCUUGUCCCUGCAGCUGGCCUUAAGAUUAUAGGAUCAUCCAUCUGAUUGCUGAACGUACGUUUCUUUCAUUUUACACAAUGAGCGAGAUUGUUCAGAAGGUUUUCCUGCCUAAUUAUUAGUUGGCAAACCUGCUGUUCAUAUCACUGUAUGCUGUGUUAAUUGCCAUUGUCAUAUCAAGAGUGAAACGAAGUAAAGCUACUUACAAUCCUCUUAAAGUUAGAAACGAUUAAAUCUAGAAACAAGACAGGAGCAAAUAUUCUAAAUCUCUCUGGUUUCCUCAAUCAGAGAUACAUCGAUUCACGGUUAGUACUUACUUAUUCACGUGUUCAUUUCAUAAUGUAAACCCUUAAUUCCUACAUUCUCUUUGUUGCUUAUAUUGGAUUAGUGAUUUGUUUCCCAAUGCAGAAAACAGGUCUUUGGAGGGUCAAGUGGAGUAGCAGACAUACUGACAAUGAUCCCUGUCUUUGCUGACAACUCAGGAAAUGAAGGUAAAGUGGAUGCAGACACUGAGGAAGUGAGAAUUAGUAAUUGAAAUGGAAAAAUUGCCAAUAGUGUAAAGGUAAGGAGCACAAAGUUGGGAAAAUCCAGUAGUUGCUGUAGAAGAUUUGAAAGAUCAUGAGGAUCAUCAUGUAGAGCAAACUGCGGAUUUCAAGGAUGCACAAAUAAUUUUUUAAGCAAGUCUAUGUUGAAAACCAAAGGAGACAGGGGAGCUGUCCUCAGAGUCACCGAUGAUGAGCAUCCUGAGGACAUGGCUAUGUCAGAAUACUCCCAUGCUAUGGAACAUGAAGAGAUAGAUGCACCAGACGACUGUGGUAUUAUUGACUGCCCAACUCUAAAUGAGCUUACAAUCGAGAACGAGAAAGAGUCAAUGGAGCGGGAAGUCUCUGCCAUGAUUGCAGAAUAUAUGGAUCAUGAGAAGUUGGAAGAUGGGAGUGCCCAAGGUUUAAGUGUUCAUGCCUUGAUACAAGUGAGAACGAACGUGCUAAAGUUUAUGCAAGUGAUAGUGCCCCUUGGGAUGUAUCUCAAUGUCAUUCCGAGUUCUCAAGGUCGGCAAUGAAAAUAUUGAAUUAGGAAUUGAAAUGAAGAAUGAGACAUGCGUUGUGAGACCACAGCGAACGAUGUAUUUCCAUUUUAUCGAGUCGAUCUGCUCCUGUAAGACAGAAGCUUAUCGGGAAAACAGCCAAUUGUGUGAACUACGGAAAUUCCGAGUCAGGCUGAACGUCCUAAAAGUGAGCUUGGGUUGGAUUUUUGGCACGACACCCUUCAUUAAAAUAAAACACCACGAGCUUCAAUUGUUGUCAUCUUUGCUUUUGCGUGAAGAUAUUAUGCAAGAACACAGAACACAGAAUCCUAAUUGUCAAUCUAAACUAUAAAAAUGGGGAAAAAUCAUCACACCUUAACUAACAAAGUUAAUCCCCUGACCACACUGCACAGUGCAUGCGACUUUCUGAAAAUAGAUUUGACAUCCGAAUGCAAAUUUUAAUGACCAGUGCUAUAAUCACUUCCGUCUCCACGUUCAAGUCCAUCCACCCAGCAAGUGUACCAUGUUCACAUGAACGUGGUGCCUAACAAGUUUUAAGUACUGAUAUAAACCAAAUGCAGAAGCUUGCAUAUGCAGCAACAAUAUUUCCAGAAACAUCCCGCUUGUCCCAUUGGAGCAUGAAAACAACGGAAAAUGCGGAAACAGUAUGAUUCAGCAGCCCCUGCUAGCUUUGAUAAAAAGAUAGAUCAUCACUUGAAAAAAGUGUUACAUUUCUCGAGUAGCACUAUGAGAUUUACUUUUCCCGAGUUACAAACUAUCUUGUUUCAUCCACCCCAUUGCAACACUAAACACGCUGAAACAAUCGAGAGGAUUUUGCACAACUCAAGGUCCACAUCUGCCAAAAAUCAUACUUCUCCUUUCUUCUUUUCAAUUUUCCUUUUUUUGUACAUACACCCUCCAGGGAGCCUUCUCAUUGAUGAAUCCCACCGCCAAUUGCAAAAGGGUGCCCUCCUCUUCGAGUCUUCAACCAAUGAACAAAAUCAAGUGUAAAAUACAGUAACAAAAUUUCUACAGGUAAAUUUUUUAGCGACUACAACAUUCCAGCUCACCUAAUCCUAGUUGCAAUCCAAUCCACACACCUCUAGUACAAUGCCGUCCUUGGAAAUGAAAGGGUUUAUUCGGACCCAUAAAAGAGUUAAAAUCGAGGCAAGAAGAAUUGCCCAAACAAUUAUGAUUGUAGGUAACCGAUCUUGUUUUCCCAUGAAUCCCUUGAGGAAGGGAUACAGAUGAACAAUGACCCACAAAGCAAAGAGAAGUUUACCAAACAGUGGACCCCAAGUUUCGUAGCCAUUAUUGAUGGCAUCUGAAACGCCGACAAUGACUCCAAUUAUGUUGAGGAUGAGCAGAGUCAAGGGAGGGAUUAACAGUGAUGUCCACUUAAAGAGGUAUAGCUCAGAGAAUUCUCCGUCAUCUCCGGCUUUGGACGUGACCGUGAAAUUUGUGUUGACUCCAGCCAAAACUUUUAGUAGACCCUGGAAGAGAGCAAACAGGUGACAUGAGACCCCACCAAUUACCCAGAACUGCUCAUUUCUCCACCAGUCGUGGAUGCCGACACCACCCCACUGCAUCUCAAGGAUGCCUGUAGCCGCAAUAGAUAUAAAGAGUGCCAUGAAAAUGAGACUAGCAUAGUUGCUUAUCUGCGACAAUGUUGAAAAGGUAUAGUCAGCAAUGGUCUUGUUGCAAUCAAGCAAAAUCAAUUGCUCGAGCAAGCACCGAACUCCUGGAAGUGUGGUGGAACUUACCUCAGGGACAAUAAACUUUCCUGUUAGAAGACAAACCGCUGGAAGAGUACAAUAUGCGAUCAAGGGAAUGGAAGUCAAAGGAUAGACGACCGAGUUGAUGUAAGAAAACCGCUCUAACCAUUUUAAGCCACAGCCAUACCCAUACCAUAUCGGACAAUGCCUGCUCAAAAGGAUCUCAACCGAUCCAAGAGCCCAACGGAGAACCUGAUGCAGGCGAUCUGAUAGGUUUAUUGGAGCUGAACCCUUGAAAGCGGGCCGCUUAGGAAUGCAGUAUACAGAUCGCCAGCCAUGACAAUGCAUCUUGAAGCCCGUUAGAAUAUCCUCUGUAACGGAGCCAUAUAUCCAGCCCACCUAAGGGAUAGUUACAAGUAGACAAUAAGCGCAAUGCAAAGUAGACAAUCUCGAUACAGUAUCAAAAGUAGUGACUUCUGCUGAAAUUGUAAGAUCUUUACCUCUUUUCCCCAUUCCGUUUUGUCCUCAUAACCACAGCUAAUGACAUGAAUGGCUUCUUUCAAAAGUGAUGCAGUAGUGGCUCCCUUUGGGACACCCCCUUCUUCCAUCAGGGUUGUAGCUAUAAAAACUGGGGAUUGACCGAAUUUCUUCUCGAACUUUACUCGGGACAUUAGUGAUGAUUUUUCAUUGUCUAUACCUGAAAUAUAGUUCCAAAAAGUACGUAUCAUUUUGCAUCUAUCCAUUUCUAUUAUAAGAACGAUACUCGCUCAAUCAUAUAUUCAGAGAGAAAACAACAAGCAAGCGCUCAAUCAUAAAUUCAGAGAGAAAAUAACAAGCAAGCGCCAUAAGACUACUAUGUGAAAUCACAAUUGUAGAAAUGAAUGCAGCGUAAAAAAUGAAGAUUUCAGAUAAAGCAUAUAUUUGGAAAAUCAACUACUUGAUACAAGUGGAACAACAUGCAAGUCCAUAGAUUAAUUUAGAUAGAAAAUGGGCACCUUCAAUUCCCUCUUCAAUAUUUUCCAGUGCAUGAAUCUGCUUUGAAGCCUCCCUGUUCCUCAAUGUCUUCUUUUGCUCAUUGGACUUCAUUUUCCUACCUCUUUUUCUAGAUCCACAACACAAGCAGCACCAUUUUGGCCAACAGUUACAUGUUUUCCCGGGAGGUUUCUUUUUUAUUGGGGCAUCAUAUCCAUACAAAGCCUGCCUCCGGAAGACACAACCAGUUCCGACAUAAAUUGGUCCUUGUAUACCAUCCAAACCCUUCAUAUUUAUCUGGAUUCAACAGUAUAGACAUAAGUAUACAUGAAUAAUUUGCUUUUUUCUGAAAAAAGGAAAAGAAGAACAUUACGAUAUUAAUGAGGCCUAUAUAUAUGUUUACUUACAUCAAAAAAUACUACAUUACGAUUUGAGUAUCUAUCAUGACGAUCUAUCCCGUCAAAUCUCUGUGGAAAUUGCACAUAACAUAUCUUCUUGCCCGAAAUUGGAUCCAUCAUGAAGCACAUGGCUUCUCGAAGAGCCUUGCUGUUGUUUAUAUAAUGAUCACAAUCCACGUUCAGCAAAUAAGGGGCAUUUGUGAUGACUGCUGAGACCCGCACCUUGAUUAACGACUCAUAAAAUAGCAGGUAAUUCAGCAACUUGAGAGAGAUGAUAUAAACAGCUGAGAAGUAAGUCCAGACUUUGAAAGCUACUUCGGGUAGACAGGGAUUCAUACCAGAGCAUUCAUGGCACCAGCUUUCUUGUGAUGAUCAAAACCAGGUCUCUUCUCGCGAGAGACAUAAACUAGACGAGGUAAUUCAUUUCCUUCAACAUCACGGUCACCAUUUUGGCCAAGGAAAACCUGCAUAGAGAUGAUUAAAUGAAAGACGACUUUAAAUUCUCUGAAUGUAAGCCAACUUAAUAAAUCUUAUGCGACAAAUAAUAUAGAAAUUCCCGAAAGCAGCAUCCACCUGGAUCAUUCCAGGAUGAUCUCUGACAUUGUUCCCAGGCCACGGAGUGCCAUCCUGCAUUGUCCAACCCUCUUCAGGAACUUUCUGUGCCAUUGCCACCAACCCAUUUAUCCGAACUUUGAACUCUUCAUAUUCUCUCUGCAACAAUAAAGGUGAGAGAGCCAAUAUAAGACAUCUACAAACAAGCAGUCUCCUUGAUUAUGUAAAAGGCAAAGAUGCCACAUUGGCUUUCACACACAAGAGUAGAUAAAAGUCACACAACAAACUUUAAAAGGUUAAAAGCUGAAGACCUUCAUGUCGCGGCGUUCUCUCACAAAUUCAGGAUUCACUUUGUCCUUCAAAUAGUCAACCUUCUGAGAAAAAUACCAUUCUGGGGCCCUAGGCUCAAUAUUGAAUCUCUUGCAGAAUGGGACCCACUUCAUUGCAAACUCUGAUGUCUCGGAAAGGGCUUCAAAGGUGAGCAUCGCUGCCCCGUCAUCUGAGACAUAGCAUGCUACUUUGUCCACUGGGUAAUCUACAGCAAGUAUGGACAGAACAGUGUUUGCAGUUAUAAGAGGAGGUUCUUUCAUGGGAUCCACUGUACUCACAAAUAUGUCUAUGUCAGCU